rnacentral:lncRNA from 1 species
CACUGGCAUUAUACAUUGUCCUCUUUCUAUGAUCUGAUAACAUUGUUUUUCGCCAAUCAACAUCUAAUCAACAAAGAAGUUAAACAUAUCUUUCUUAACCAACAAUAAUCAACAAACAGAAGAAUAAUUAUUUCAACAAAAUAGAAAAAUGUUUGAAAAGAAAAUAUCACCUGAAUAGGCUUCUUGAAUUUGUUAAAAUUUCUGCUUAGCCUCACCAAUCUGUGUAGGGUCGUUAGUCCAUUCAUCCAGUUGCCAUUGCUGCAGCAAAUAUAACACACAAGUUAUAACUAAAACACAGUCUCUGAACAAAUAUAUUGCCAUUUAACCAAGAUUUAAGAAUUAUGGACCAUCAUCCUGCACGGCAAAAAUUAAAACUAAAGAAGAAUCAAGAUUGUAAAGUUUGAAUUUUUGAGAGAGAUUUCUAAUGGAAAAUUAGGGGUCGGUUAAUUUUGGGUAUGCAAUCUUUGAAGGAAAAAUUCUGGUUGUGAAGUGGAUUUAAAUAAGUUGAGGAUGCAAACCCAAAAUUUGAAGGAGGACUCAAAACAUCAAUAAUUGAAAGGUUCAAACUAAUCAAGAACCCUAAUCGAUCAUUCAAACUUUUCAAUAACAUUAGAAAAGACCUUCUUCAUGUCCAAUGACUUCAUGGAUGUGAAGGGCCUCUUCAUAUUCAGCAAACAGAAAAAUGUCCCCCACCUUCCUCGUGAAUUCCAAAGCAUCCUUCCCUCGGUUUCUAGGAGUUGACCACUGCAUUGA